rnacentral:rRNA from 1 species
AUGGGGAACAUCGUGGGCAAGCCGGUCGAGCAGCUGUGCCGGGCGCUGUCGCACCGGACGGACCCGGAGAAGCUCAAGGAGAUGGGCAACGAGGAGUACCGGGAGGGGCACUACGCGGAGGCGGUGGCGCUCUACGACCAGGCCAUCAUGAUGGACCCGAUGCGGCCGGCGUACUGGAGCAACAAGGCCGCCGCGCUGGCCGCGCUGGGCCGCCUCAUCGAGGCCGUCGCCGACUGCAAGGAGGCCGUCCGGAUCGACCCCUCCUACGGCCGCGCGCACCACCGGCUCGGCGGGCUGUAUCUCAGAUUAGGAGAACCAGACAAGGCCAUAAACUACCUGAAGCAGUCGCCCAUGGACUCUGUAAGCGCGGACGUUUCCCGCGCGCAGUCGGUGAAGGGCCGCAUCGCCAAGUGCACCGACGCGCGCAAGGUCAGGGACUGGAUCACGGUGCUGCAGGAAUCGCAGGCCGCCGUCUCCGACGGCGCCGACUGCGCCCCACAGGUGAUGGCGCUGCAAGCGGAGGCCCUGCUGAAGCUGCAGCGGCACGACGAGGCGGACUCGGCGCUCCGCGGCGCGCCCAGGUUCGGCGUCGACGAGUCCACCAAGUUCUUCGGCACCACCGCCCACGCCUACGUCCUCAUGGUCCGAGCCCAGGUCGACAUGGCCGCCGGAAGGUUGGAGGAGGCGGUGGCGACGGCGCAGGCGGCGUGCGAGCUGGACCCGGGCAGCCGGGAGGCCGCGAGCGUGCACCGGCGCGCCAAGGCGGUGGCGACGGCGCGGCAGCGCGGCAACGACCUCUUCAAGGCGUCCAGGUUCGCCGAGGCGUGCGCGGCCUACGGCGAGGGGCUGGACAAGGGCGAGGCCGGCAGCGCCGUGCUGCUCUGCAACCGCGCCGCGUGCCACGCCAAGCUCGGCCGGCACGAGAAGGCCGUGGAGGACUGCAGCGGCGCGCUCGCCGUGCGGCCCGGCUACAGCAAGGCCCGCCUCCGGCGAGCCGACUGCAACGUCAAGCUGGAGAGGUGGGAGGCGUCGUUGAGAGACUACCAGGUGCUGAUCCAAGAGCUCCCGGAGAACGAAGACGUGAAGAAGGCUCUCGCAGAGGUUGAAGCCAAGAUCAAGAGCCAGAGGAAUUGA